rnacentral:piRNA from 1 species
UAAAACCCCAGAUAUGUGACUGCUACCCA